UAGGGAAUCUUCCGCAAUGGACGAAAGUCUGACGGAGCAACGCCGCGUGAGUGAAGAAGGAUUUCGGUUCGUAAAACUCUGUUGUUAGGGAAGAAAAAAUGUAUAGUAACUAUAUACAAAAGAGACGGUACCUAACCAGAAAGCCACGGCUAACUACGUGCCAGCAGCCGCGGUAAUACGUAGGUGGCGAGCGUUGUCCGGAAUUAUUGGGCGUAAAGCGCGCGCAGGUGGUUUAGAAAGUCUGAUGUGAAAGCCCACGGCUCAACCGUGGAGGGUCAUUGGAAACUAAUAAACUUGAGUGCAGGAGAGAAAAGUGGAAUUCCUAGUGUAGCGAUGAAAUGCGUAGAGAUUAGGAGGAACACCGGUGGCGAAAGCGGCUUUUUGGCCUGCAACUGACACUGAGGCGCGAAAGCGUGGGGAGCAAACAGG
rnacentral:rRNA from 1 species